CGCCUUCUGAAAAAAUAUAGAAGGUCCAGCCUGCCCAGUGACAAAGUUAAACGGCCGCGGUACCCUAACCGUGCGAAGGUAGCGCAAUCACUUGUUCUUUAAAUGAGGACUAGUAUGAACGGCAUCACGAGGAUUACACUGUCUCCCCCCUUUAAUCAGUGAAACUGAUCCCCCCGUGAAGAAGCGGGGAUAAACAUAUAAGACGAGAAGACCCUAUGGAGCUUUAAACUAACACCAUCUGUCUAUAAAUACUUCAUAAUAAACAGACAAAGCCUGUGUGCUAGUUUUUGGUUGGGGUGACCGCGGAGCAAAAUAAAACCUCCACGAUGAAAAGACUUUCCCUCUUAAUCCAAGAGCAACACCUCAAAGAAUUGGCAAGCCAACACAACUGAUCCAAACAAUACUUUGAUCAACGAACCAAGUUACCCUAGGGAUAACAGCGCAAUCCAUUUCAAGAGCUCCUAUCGACAAAUGGGUUUACGACCUCGAUGUUGGAUCAGGGUAUCCCAGUGGUGCAGCCGCUACUAAAGGUUCGUUUGUUCAACGAUUAAAACCCU
rnacentral:rRNA from 1 species